CCCCUCUCAGGACCAUGCCUGGGGUGUUUCCAGUACUCUACCAGUCUUGAUUAUGGGAGGAGAGAAUCAAGCAGAGGCUUACCCAUUCCAUUCCUAGCUUGGAAAGUGGCUAGCGAGUGGAAGGAAAUCUGCUACAAGU